rnacentral:misc_RNA from 1 species
GGAAUUUUGCGCAAUGGGCGAAAGCCUGACGCAGUAACGCCGCGUGGAGGAUGAAAGCCCUCGGGUUGUAAACUCCUGACUGGGGGAAAGAUCAUGACGGUACCCCCAAAGAAAGCCCCGGCUAAUUCCGUGCCAGCAGCCGCGGUAAUACGGAAGGGGCAAGCGUUGUCCGGAAUUAUUGGGCGUAAAGAGCUCGUAGGCGGUCUGUCGCGUCGGCUGUGAAAACUCGGGGCUCAACUCCGAGCUUGCAGUCGAUACGGGCAGGCUAGAGUUCGGCAGGGGAGACUGGAAUUCCUGGUGUAGCGGUGAAAUGCGCAGAUAUCAGGAGGAACACCGGUGGCGAAGGCGGGUCUCUGGGCCGAUACUGACGCUGAGGAGCGAAAGCGUGGGGAGCGAACAGGA